GAAAUAUAAAAUUAGAACUUCUAAUUCUUUUACUAUGAAAUUUAAUCAUAAAUAUUUCU
rnacentral:tRNA from 1 species